rnacentral:rRNA from 1 species
AUUGAACGCUGGCGGCAUGCCUAACGCAUGCAAGUCGAACGGUAACGCGGAGAGCUUGCUCUCUGGCGACGAGUGGCGGACGGGUGAGUAAUACUUAGGAAUCUGCCCAGUAGUGGGGGACAACUCGGGGAAACUCGAGCUAAUACCGCAUACGCCCUAAGGGGGAAAGCGGGGGAUCUUCGGACCUCGCGCUAUUGGAUGAGCCUAAGUCGGAUUAGCUUGUAGGUGGGGUAACGGCCUACCUAGGCGACGAUCCGUAGCUGGUCUGAGAGGACGAUCAGCCACACUGGGACUGAGACACGGCCCAG